rnacentral:rRNA from 1 species
AUACGGAGGGUGCAAGCGUUACUCGGAAUCACUGGGCGUAAAGCGCGCGCAGGCGGGCUGAUAAGUUGGAUGUGAAAGCCUACGGCUCAACCGUAGAACUGCAUCCAAAACUGUCAGUCUAGAGUCUGGGAGAGGAAGAUGGAAUUAGUUGUGUAGGGGUAAAAUCCGUAGAGAUAACUAGGAAUACCAAAAGCGAAGGCAAUCUUCUGGAACACUACUGACGCUGAGGCGCGAAGGCGUGGGGAGCAAACAGGAUUAGAAACCCUAGUAGUCC